rnacentral:rRNA from 1 species
CACGUAGGCACCAAGCGUUGUCCGGAUUUAUUGGGCGUAAAGAGCUCGUAGGCGGUUCGGUAAGUCGGGUGUGAAAACUUUGGGCUUAACCCAAAGCGUGCACUCGAUACUGCCAUGACUAGAGUUCGGUAGGGGAGUGGGGAAUUCCUAGUGUAGCGAUGAAAUGCGCAGAUAUUAGGAGGAACACCGGUGGCGAAGGCGCCACUCUGGGCCGAAACUGACGCUGAGGAGCGAAAGCGUGGGUAGCAAACAGG